ensembl:lncRNA
GUUUUAACAAUGUUUUUAGUAGGUAGUUUUAUUUUUGUUCCCAGAAUGUUCUCUCAAAAAAUAGGAUAAUGUUCUCUCUCUAAAAGCUUCCAGGAAAUUAUGGGAUCUGAUGAAAAUCUGCCAUUCAGAUUAAAACAAAACAGUGACACCUACUGACAAAAUAAAAUUAUGAAUAUCAGAAUCAGAAUCAGAAAGAGCUUUAUUGCCAGGUAUGCUUACGCAUACAAGGAAUUUGUUUUAGUGACAUAAGCUUCCAGUACACAGAGACAACAACACACACACAAAAAAAAAGAGAUUUACAAAUUGGCAAAUAAAUAAGUGUAUAAACAAUUGUGCUAUAAAUUAUAAUGGAAUAUGAUUGAGUGAGAUGCAGGAAUGUUCUAGGAUGUCAGUCAACAUACUACUUCUGCAUUGAAGCAAAAGAUAUGUAGUUUUUUUUUAUUUUUUAUUUUUUUUACAAUGUGUGUUUCUAUUAGGAAAUCAGUGCAGAUGGCUUGUUCAUUUCCAAAAAGGAGAUGAGCUGGUCUUACAGCAGAUAGUACUGCAGGGAUCGUGGACCUGGUCAUUAUCAACACUGAAGAUAAGCAGGUGCGUGAGUGAAGAAGGAGGGUUUCUCAGUUGCUGGGAAGCGUGUUGACUGCUGCAGACUUGGACGACGUCUUUCCGAGCUGUUCCCGCAUGGGGAUCUUUUUGAGCCACACACAAUUCGGUAUGCAUCCUGGGCUGUGUAUAUCCGUUUGUGGUAUGACGUUGGAAUGGCUGAUUUACUAAUAUUCAGGUGGGUAAACUAUUGAUUUAAUGGAGGAAUAUUUGCGAUAAGACUUGUUGGCUACAGUUGAAGGGGUCAAGAGCUGGUAAUAUGUCCACAUGAUUACAGCGAGCUGAGUGGGACCGCGACUGGGCUUCCCCCUUCCUGUUUGGUCUUUUAUCUUCGUGUUUCGAGUACCUUCGCACUGUUGCGCGUGGCCGUGAUGCUCCGCCUUUGCCUCAUUCGCGCCUGCAUGACCAGUCUGCAUCCAGUGAACUUGACGUCUGGACAUUGUGAGACCCGAGUUUAGUCCGCGUGGCCGUUUGGUCACCUUCACACUGUUUCAACUGGGAGAUUGUGUUUGUGGGGUUGUAUGGUAUAAGUGGAUUGUUGUGUGAAUGAAUUCAUAACUUGUUGAAAGUUGUGUGAGUGCGUUCGUUUUAUGUUGGAGGUGUGUGUGAGUCAGAAAAAAGUAUGAAUGGUUUGUGAGUCUGCGUGAUUCUAUGGAGUGAUGUGUGUGUAAUGUUUAUGGGUAGGUGAUUGAAUUGGGGGUUUUUCUUUUGUAUUUCUUUGGUCAACUUUGUAUUUUUUUUGUGUGUAUUGAUUUUGUGAUAUUUGAUUGUACUUCCUUUUUCUUUCUUUUUGUGUUUUAUUGAUUUGUGACAGUUUGAUGUUAAUUUGUAUAUUUUUUUGUUGGAUUGGCUAGGAAGGAGUGCUGACCACUCUAGGUCCAAGUUAAUGGGUACCCUUGUUCACUGAGUAAUUUAAUUCUUCUCAAUUUUCCUUCACCUGAAUGCACGUGUGCUUGUGGUGCAGUGAGUACAUCAGUGUACUUUUGAAGUGUGAAAUGAAGUGGAGUUGGGUAGGUUUGUUAUUUCUCCUUGCCAUCUGACAAGUAACUUUUUUUCUUUGGAUUGUAUGAUUGUUUAUUUUUCUUACUUUAGUUUUGAUUUGAGCCAUAUUAACCCCUUGUAUACUGAAGUGUGUGUGUGGAGUUUUAGUUAGCCAUAAUAAAGUGUUAUUUUUUUUAUAUUCACGUCUCUGCUCUAUCUUUGUGGGAACGAACCUGUGUCCUUACUAGACCAUUAUUUCCCUGGGUGAAAUUCCCAGGGUGGCGUAGUCGGU